GGGGAACCAGGGAUUGAACUCCAGGGCACUCAACCACUGAGCCACAUCCCCAGCUCUAUUUUGUAUUUUGUUUAGAGACAGGGUCUCACUGAGUUGCUUAGCACUCGAUUUUGUUAAGGCUGGUUUUGAACUCACGAUCCUCCUGUCUCAGCCUCCUGAGCUCCUCGGAUCACAAGCAUGCACCACUACACCCGGCUAAGACUCUGUCUCAAUAAAAAAGAGGGGAUGGGGUUGUGGCUUGCCUAGCAUGUGUGAAGCACUGGGUUAGACCCUCAGCAUUACAUACAAAUAAAUAAAAGGUAUUGUGUUUUAAAAAAAGAGAGAAAGAAAGAAAAAGAAGGAAAGAAAGAAAGAAAACCGACUGACUUCUAAAUUGGAGGACUCUUUCUCCCCUUCCCCCUCCCCCAGUACUACGGUACUCUAUACUGAGCUUGGCUCUUUUUAUUGUUUGAGACAGGAUCUGCUAAAUUGGGCAGGCUAGACUCAAAUUUUCAAUUCUCUUGCCUCAGCCUCCUUAGUCACUGGGAUUACAGGUAUGUGCCACAACACCUAGCUUGAAUUAUUUAAUUUUUUAAAAUUUUUUAAUUAUAGAUGGACACAAUGUCUUUAUUUUACUUUAUAUCAUGCUGAGGAUCAAACCCAGUGCCUCACGAACGCCAGGUGGCCGCUCUACUUGUGAGCCACAACCCCACCCUAAUUUUUUUUUUAAUUGAACCCAGGGGCACUCCACCACUGAGCCACAUCCCCAGCUCUAUUUUGUAUUUUAUUUAGAGACAGGGACUCACUGAGUUACUUAGGGCCUCACUAAGUUGCUGAGGCUGAUUUUGAACUCACAAUCCUGCCUCAGCCUCCCAAGCUGCCGGGAUUACAGGCGUGUGACAUCUCGCCUGGCUCCAAAUUAUUUAAUCUUUAUAACAAGAUUGUGCUUUGUUCCAGGUGAGCAAGAAUAAGAGUAUUAUACAAUACAGAGUUGUAAUCUUCUGCAUCAUGUUUUUUAGCUCACAGAUUCUUGCACAGCCUCACUAUUUGAAGAAAGUUCAUUCUGAAAAUCUGAAGCAGUUAAUGGGUAAAUAUGAUCAGUUAUCUCCACCAGGUUCUCAGCCUGAGAAGGGUAAGCUUUUGUUCACCUCAUCAUCCUCAUCUGUGCCCUCUGCAGUGUUUGGGGACCAGCUUCUUUCACUUAGUAUAGCAUCCUCCUGUUCCUCUACGACAUAUUAUGUAUCAGUACUGCAUUCCUUUUUAUCGUUGAAUAAUAUUCCAUUGUAUGAAUGUACCACAUUUUGUUUUAGUUGAUGGAAAUUGGGAUUGUUCCCACUUUGUAUCACUGAUAGUAUUUAUUCCAUUAUACAAGUCGUAACACCAUUUAGCUUAUCCAUUCACCUAUUAAUGACAUUUUCUUUCUUUCUGGAGCUGUUACAAAUGAAAUUACUGUAAACAUUGAUGUCCAAGCCUUUGUGUAGACAUAGAUCUCCUUUUCUUUGGAGUAGAUAUCUAGGAGUGAUAUACACUGGAUCAUUUGGUAAAUGUAUGUGUGACUUCUUAAGAAACUGCCUGUGAUGGUUUGGAUGUGAGGUGUCCCCCCAAAGCUCAUGUGUGAGACAAUGCAAAGAGGCUUAGAGGAUCAUGAGAGUCUUACCUAGUCAGUGAACUACUCCCUGAUGGGAUGAGCUGUGUGGUAGGGUGUGGCUGGGAAGGUGGGAGAUGGGAGGUGGGCGUGCCCUUGGGGUAUAUUUUUGCACCUGGUGAGUGGAGUCUCUGCUUCCUGACAUAAUUCCUGAGCCCCUUCCUCCGCCACACUCUUGCAGCCUCACCUUGUGCCCUGAGGAAGGAGCCAGCUGUCUGUGGACUGAGACCUCUGAAAACGUGAGCCCCCAAUUACACUUUUUCUCCUUAAAAUUGCUCUUGCCAGGUCUUUUGGUCACAGCAACCAAAAAGCUGACUGAAGCUCUGCCAGACAAGUGAGUUGCGGUAGCCACGCCUGUGGUCCCAAUGGACCAGGCUGAAGCAGGAGGAUCACAAGUUCAAGGCCUGCCUGGGCAACUUAAUCCUGUCUCGAAAUAUAAAAUAAAAAGGACUUGGGGGGCUGGGGCUGGGGCUGAGCAGUAGAGCACUCACCUAGCAUGUUCGAGGCCCUGGGUCUGAUCCUCGGCACCACACAAAAAUAAAUAAAAUAAAGAUAUUGUUUAUCUACUACAACUGAAAAAUAAAUUUUAAAAAAAGGACUGCAAGAUUAUGUAGCUCUGUGGUAGAACACCUGUGGGCUUAGCCCCAAUGCCUGAUUUCAAAGUGGUGGUGCCCUUUUCUACCCCUCAGCCCCUCCCAGGAGCUCCAGCUGUCCACUCUCAUGAGAGGGGGACUCCAGUCUUCACUUCAGGCCAUCUUUACUUCAGGCCUCCUGGAGGGUGGGGAUGGCUCCCUGUGGUUUCACUUCACGUUUCCUUUUUCUUUCCUUUUUUUUUUUUUUUUAAUAAUACUAGGGAUUGAACUGAGGGAUAUGUGCUUUACCACUGGACUACAUCACUAGCCCUUUUUAGUGUUUGAGACAGAGUCUUGCUAAGUUGCUUAGUGCCUCACCAAGUUGCUGAGGCUAGCCUCAAACUUGUGAUCCUCCUGCCUCAGCCUCCCAAGUCCCUGGGAUUACAGGCGUGGGCCACUGCGCCAGCUUAGUUCACAUUUUCUUUUUAUUUUUUUUUCCUGUGUUUUUUAUUGGUGCAUUAUAGUGGUUCAUAAUGGUGGGGUUUGUCUUUACAUAGUUUACAUUUUCUUGAUGAUAAUGAUCUUCAACAUCUUUUCAUGUGUUUAUUGGCCAUUUCUAUUUAUUCUUUUCAGAAAUAUUUCUUAAAAUAUUUUGCCUAUAUUUAACCAUUUGUUAUUUUAUUAUUAUCCUAGUCAGAAUUUUUGUGCUAUUUACAUGGAAUAGGAGCUGAUUUUUGUAACUCAUCCAAUUGGGUUUCAUUUAGAUAAAAGUGGAUUUCAUUGGCAAGAGAAGAGCUGGUCAGCAGUGACUCUAGAGUGCUGUGCGGCUUGUUCUUGUGAAAGGGGAAACGCAGCUCUGCACAGGUUUGCUGCUGCCUCCUGCCUUACAGGUGAAACCUCACCGAUAGCACCCAGGGCAUUAUCAUUCCCUAGUGCACUUUCUGCUGUAUUGGUACUUAAUCAGGGCUUGAGGUAGGAGAAGAGAGAGAAUCAGCAAUCCUGUUGCUUGUCCCCUCUCCCCUGCAAAAAGAAUCUGACAAGCAAGCAGAAACAGCAUGAAUUACACACAGCCAAGCAGGCCUGAGAUGCAGCUACCUGGAGGCCAGGGCAGGAGACCACAGGGUGGGGCCGCCUGCAGCCUGGUGAACCCUGUCUCAGUGAAAACAGACUAGGGCUGGGCACGUGGCUCAGUGUGAGAACGCCUGCCUCCUCGCCUGCUCAGGCCCUGUGCUCCAUCGCCAGGACCACAGACAAUCCCCUCCUACGUUCCUCCUGACACUCUCUACACCAGGUAUCCCCAAGUGCCGUCUACUCGGUUUCCUCCCUCAGCCCUCACAUCAGUACUUUGAGAGAACAAACCAGAAGGUAUUCUAGAAUGCUUUUCCCACCAAUCAGAAGUAACGGAAUGAAACCAUAGCGCUGGGCAGGAGAAACAGAACUCUGUUCCCUCAUAUGCCUUCAUGCCCUAUACCCGAGUAGUUUUCGUCUUAGAGCUGAAUUUCUGAUUUCCAGCAUCCCC
rnacentral:lncRNA from 1 species